rnacentral:misc_RNA from 1 species
AAUUUGCUUCCAAUUGCCAUGACCAAUCACAGCUCAGCUUUCAUUUGGAUGGGGUAGUACAUGUAGGCCUACACAAUCCUUACAACGUUAGAGAACCCCUUCCAAUUGGCAGUUGCCAGAAAAGAUACCAGUAUACAGUAUUGUGCACGUCCCCAAAAGCUCUUCUUCUGCAUGACUCUGCUGCCAAUUAGAAGAUGAAAGCUUGAUUGUUGUAACCCUCUGUU